rnacentral:rRNA from 1 species
CCUACGGGAGGCAGCAGUGGGGAAUAUUGCGCAAUGGGCGAAAGCCUGACGCAGCGACGCAGCGUGAGGGAUGAAGGUCUUCGGAUCGUAAACCUCUGUCAGCAGGGAAGAACCGUCACUGUUCUAAUCAGCAGUGAAUUGACGGUACCUGCAAAGGAAGCACCGGCUAACUCCGUGCCAGCAGCCGCGGUAAUACGGAGGUUGCGAGCGUUCAUCGGAAUUACUGGGCGUAAAGCGCUCGUAGGCGGUAUGUCAAGUCAAGGGUGAAAUCCCCGCGCUCAACGUUGGAAUUGCCUUUGAAACUGGCAAACGUGAGUGCGUGAGAGGAUAGUGGAAUUCCAGGUGUAGGAGUGAAAUCCGUAGAUAUCUGGAGGAACAUCAGUGGCGAAGGCGACUAGCUGGAACGUAACUGACGCUGAGGAGCGAAAGCGUGGGUAGCAAACAGGAUUAGAUACCCUGGUAGUC